UACGGGGGGUGCGAGCGUUGUCCGGAAUCACUGGGCGUAAAGGGCGCGUAGGUGGCCUGAUAAGGGUGUGGUGAAAGUCCGGGGCUCAACCCCGGAUCGGCCGUGCCGACUGUUAGGCUAGAGUACUGUAGGGGCAGGCGGAAUUCCGGGUGUAGCGGUGGAAUGCGUAGAGAUCCGGAGGAAGACCGGUGGCGAAGGCGGCCUGCUGGGCAGUUAC
rnacentral:rRNA from 1 species